CUGGUUGAUCCUGCCAGUAGUCAUAUGCUUGUCUUAAAGAUUAAUCCAUGCAUGUGUAAGUAUAAGUAUUGUACAGCGAAACUGCGAAUGGCUCAUUACAUCAGUUAUAAUUUAUUUGAUAAUCGAAAGUUACAUGGAUAACCGUGACAAAUUACAGCUAAUACAUGCAGUCAGACCUGGUCCAAGGGUCGUAAUUAUUAGUAUUAAACCAUUUCCGAAAGGAGUGUGAUGAAUCAUAAUAAUCGAACGAAUCGCCUGGUGUGCGAUAAAUCAUUCAAGUUUCUGCCCUAUCAGCUUUGGAUGGUAGUGUAUUGGACUACCAUGGCAGUCACGGGUAACGGGGAAUUAGGGUUCGAUUCCGGAGAGGGAGCCUGAGAAACGGCUACCACAUCUACGGAAGGCAGCAGGAGCGAAAAUUGCCCAAUCCCGACACGGGGAGGCAGUGACGAGAAAUAACAACUCUUGGUUAUUCUAAGAAGUGUAAUGAGGAUAAUUUAAAACACGCUUACCGAAAGCAAUUGGAGGGCAAGUCUGGUGCCA
rnacentral:rRNA from 1 species